rnacentral:lncRNA from 1 species
GGAAACCAAGGAAGGUUUCAGGACAAAGGCAUGGACAGGAGAAAGCAUAUUCUUUGGGGGAAAAUAAGGGAUCCAACUGGAUCUGUCUACAUCAACCGUGUGGGAUUCGGAGGCAAGGGGAGCCAACAUAAAUAUGAUGAUGCUCAUGCUGCUUACCGUGUGGCUGGAACAGAGCCCUGAGACUCCAGAAAAGAACAGCCGCAGAAGCUGAACACGAGCAGUGUCUGAAGAGCCAUUGCCCCAAACUCAAGAUCCCUGAUGCCAUGAAACUUGGUGCCCAUUAGUGGAGGAAUGGAUGUAAAGUGGGUGGACUGCAUACUCUGGAAUCCUGUGCAGCAGAUGAAAACAACAAAUGAGAUGAAUGGAC